AGGUUGUAUAAUAUUCAUUAAGCAUUGAUUAAUUACAUUUCAUUGAAGUGCAAUAGUAGUAUAGUAUAUUGAACUAUAAUUACCAGAAGAAAUUAAACAAAAUCGAACUAAAAUACAUUUCAUUCCAAUACAUAGUUUUUAAAUCUUAUUAUAUUGAUUCUAAUGUUCAAGCUCACUUAAGGUUCUUGUGAACUAAGAUGCCCGAGACAUUUUCAAUGUGUACAUUUACAUAAUGCUUCAUUUGUUGGAAGCUUUACACAAAUUUGGCUCACUAACAACUAGAGUUGAUGCACUUAUUGCAGGGUAGGUCCGGAUGCUUGGUCUCUGAUGUAUCCUUCAAUACUUGCUAAGCUACAGAGCCUGUACAAUGAUGGCUAUAAACUGGUUAUUUUCUUUCCAUAUAAUCUAUCUCAAAUGUUAUCUUUACCAAUGAAUCAAACAUUGAGCGCUGGAAAAAUAAGAGACAAGUUGCUGUGGACUCAAAAAUUGGUCGCCUAAACAAAUUAAUGAGACAAUGAAAGUCCCAAUUCAGUUAUUGCAUGGGAAGAAAAGUAAAGCACGAGGUCCCUGAAGAUUGAGUCUGUGAAUCUGGGAAGAGAGAUGAAGCUGUCACAAUAGCAAUGAGCAUGGGGCAAUUGUCAAUUUCACAGCUUCAUUCCAAAAAGAAAAAGCCCAUAGAAACUGGUAAAGUUAAGUUCAUUCCUCAUGAAGAAAUCCUUAAGCUAUCUUCAGAGACCUUCAACGAGUCAAGAGAAACAACUCGAACAAAAUGACAACAUGUAUCUAGCAAAGUUGGAAUUUCAAAUAAAAAGAUAGAGAAGAAACUAGUCAAAGAACCAUGCACAUUGUUGCCAUCAUCACUUGAUGUUAGUGCAGGUGGUAAAACUAAGGAUGUUCAAGGAGACCUGCCAAAUUUCCCACUUAGUUUUACCUUGUAUAUCACAUAUUUUCUGAGGCUGUCUUUGUUGUUCUCUGUUUGUAGUUUUAUGUCUUAUAUGUACUAUCUUAGUCUGAGGCUGUCUAGACUGUAAUACAGUACAGGUGAUUUCUUAUCAUCUUUUUUUAAUACAAUCUUGUUUGGUUGGGAUUGAAAUGAUAGUGUUUAUGUGAGAAUAGAAAUAGAAUGGGAAAGAAAUAUCAAUUCUUUUGUUUGGUUGAAA